CCCGCACUCGCGUGCCGAGCUCCUCCCAUUCCCUAACCCUAUCUGCUCCCCACGCCGCCGCCGUCUCGUUCCCCCAGCCUGCCGGAUCCCCGCCGUCCACUUCCCCGGUGUCGUCGCCGUCGUUCUUGCGUGCACACGGCAGGAGGGGCGUGGGCGUCGCCGUCGCGACCGUCGUCCCUUCUCGCCGCCGCCUCCUUCCUUUCCUCCAUCCCCGCCCCUGCCGCGAGCACCUCUUCCCCAUGCCAUCGGCCUCCUCCUCUGUCGUGUCUCUCCUCGUUGGUCGUCACCUCAGAUCAUGAAGGAGUUCCAGCCAGAGAAAAGGAGAAGAAGGGGAUGGAUGAGCAAGGAGCAGAAGGACCUGAAGAAGACGGGAAGGGAGAUGGGCCGAUAUGCAUGUCCAUGGAGGAACCAGCAGCAGCCUCCAGUAGGACCAGCCGGGACGAGGGCGGGGAUGGAGAAUGCUGCAUCCAUCUCGCGGAUCUGGGCCAUGGCACCCGUAGUGGUGCUUCCAAAACCGAGCCGUUGUCAAGUGCUUCUUCGACUUAGAAGAUAAGACUAAAAAUCAUGUGUCUUCGUUUAUAUAGAAUCUUAGGUGUUUCAUGAUAAUUCACAAGAUUCUCUUAAUGAACAUUCUGAGUAUAGUUUCUUAAACAAUCUGGUUGAAAAAAACUGGGACAAAACAUGUGUAGUUAAAUCUGAAUGCAUAUAUUAUUUCGAGGUAAAUUUCUAUGCAUAUACCGGCUCUUAAGGAGUAUUACAUGAUUUUUAUUUUCUCAAUUGGAUGGAAGUGUUGGUUCUUUCCAAGUCUUUGGAAUAACAAUUGUACAACACCAUCUGGACUAUCUUUCUAUGGUGGUUUCACAAUCCUUUGAUGUUCGGUUUACUGCACGAGUCACUAAGGGAUUGCUGUUAAUUUGCCUCACGGUUCUGUUGCUAGGUACAAUUCUUUUAUUAGGUUCUGCAUAAUAUUUGGUCAACAUUUGCUAGGUACGAAAAAACAUCACUCGCCGCUCCUGGUCCAUCUAAUUGCUGGUGACAUCACAUUAGUUAGCACACAUUUCUGAUGUGCCUAUAAAUCUGUACCAUCCAUGUACAAAUGAUUUAUCUUUUAUUGUCUUCCCUUGUUAUUAUUUUUGGUUCAAGAAGUAGCUCUUAAAAUUCAGUUCAGCUCUUUUCUCAUAUUCCAUUUUGUAGAAUACAUUUUAUUUAGAAUUAAUAGUGGGUAUAAUGUACAAGUGCUCCGCAUCCAUCCAGCAAGUACUGCCUUUGCAUAGCUAUGCAACCUUUAGGAAUUAUAGUUGGUGCCGCAGAGUCAACCAGGAGGUUCAGGACACAUAUAUUACGCUAUUAGUGAUGAACGGAAAUCAAGGAGAACUCCCACGCACGCUCCUGAAUUUACUUCUGUCUGUUCGUCAUUUCUGGUUCUUUCUUUCAGCCAAAAUCCACACCCUUGAUGAGAUUUGAGUAGGAAGUGAAUUAUAGAUUGGUAAGUUUUUCUCAUAAAUUAAAUCAUGUUUUAGUAAGGUAGAAAAUAUAAUAUCUAGAAUUCAAUCUUCAUUUAUGUUGAGCAAUAGUGGCAAAAUCAAUGGAGUGGAAAUAUCUUUGAGAAGUGAUAACACAUAUGCAGUGUAUGGCAUGGAUGUACAGUGAGCUAUCUACAGUACUUGCCUGAGUUACUUUCUGCAGAUGAGCCUUAACUUUAGGAUCAUGUUAAGCUUGUUAGGGAGUGACAGCGAGAAGUGCUCUCCUUUAUCAUUGUUUGCUCUGGACCAUGUGAUCAGCGGUUUCAUGUUUGGUGUUUAUAUAUUAAAUAAAAUAUACUAUCAUACCUUUAGAUUCGCCUUUCCUUGGUCUUGUCUUCAUAUAUUUUGAUAUUUUUUACUUCAGCCUGCAAAAGCUUGUGUAAAUUAUCAUCUUGCAACUAUCUCCAUAAUUAAGCAUUGUUUACUGAUCCAUGUCUCUCUCCAGAAGAUGUUUGCACCUUUGUUGGGUGGUGAGGCUGCCAAGCAGCCAAGUGGUGGGUUUUCUAUUUACUACAUCUGAGGCUAAUCAAGUCGGUGCGACACCAGGUACUGCAGGUCCUUGCAGUGGCACAAUCGGUACAAGUCGAUUUCGUCACUACAAGUUACUUAUAUAAGUAUCUGUAUAUGGUAGCCAUAUAGAUCUGAACUAUGUGAAUCAUUUCUUGCUUACAUGUGUGGGUUUAGUUUUUCCUGUUGAUUAGAUGAGGGAAUUCAUGCUUUUGCUUUUGUUGACAAAGCGCAACUCAGACCAUUUUGGGAUAUUGAUUUUGUGGUUUCUGUAAGGUGGUCAGCUAACAAUAAUUUAUACUGAUGAUGGCAUCUACAUAUUUUGUCCUAACACUUGAUUUUGUUCUAUGUUAACAUAUGUAAAAUGCUUCAGUUUGUAUGUGUCUAAAGAGACCUCUACACCUAAUAUGUGUCUUCCCUCUUACUUUAUUUUUACUUUUUGUUCUCCAGAUAUAUAGCCACUGAAGGGCUAGGCCGAUGUUGUCAUCAUACUCUUAGAUUAGCUCAAGUUUUGAUUUCUUAUGGAAUGCAGAUCUUCUAAUCUCUGUAGAGGGCUAACAAAAUGACUCGUGCUUCAAGUACCAAGAUCAUUUCUUGCUUGAUAAUAAGGCAGAAUGGUAGUUUUGGUAGUUGUGAGAAACUUGAUGAGGUACAGUGCAGAAUGACACACAUCCAGUUUUGGUAGUUGUGAGAAACUUGAUUUGUCUGAGAUAGCAAUUAGGGAGGGAUAAUUUACUUCUAUAUAGUAUGGAUCAUGUUUAGUAUUUUUCUUCUAAGAAUCUUCAUUUUUUAUCCUAUUAUAUACCAAAUUUGGCUUUAGGUAACUGCCUGAGGUAGUUUCCAUUUCUCUUUCUAUGUGUGAUUCUUGCUAUAAUAGCUCAAUUUCUCUUUUCUUUUAUAAUUUCUUUAAUUCUACAUUUAGUUUUACCUUCUGUCAUUUAAAUUGUGUUCUGAUAUUUUCUAGGCGCCCAUGGGUUACAAUGACUCGGACCAAUGUUUUUCUUUACUACACUUUACGUUUGUAAUUGCAACAAAGUAAGUCUUGUAGGCUUAGAGAGAAAUCUUCUGGAUUUUUAGACCACAUAUUUAUUUUCUUUCUCAACAAUAUUCAUGGUGUACCACGUAGUAAUUUUGAUUUUUCAUUCGACUGUUAACUCUUUACAAGAUCUACAAGUUGCACACAAUUCAUGUUUUCUGUUUGGUCUUGCCAAUUCUCCCAUGUUUGUUCUAAAGAGCUUUUGAUGUUGUAUCUAUACUCAUGCUUAAUCUAGCAGGUGAAACUGUACAGCCUGAUGCACCACAGCCAUCAAAGGAAAUUGUUCACAACAUCUACUUCUAGAGCGGUGAGUUCACAGUAGACGACGGUCCACUUAGAAGUUUCAACGACCCAGAGCAUGCAUCCUUUUGGAGGUAAGAAGAACUCUGAUGUGUGCAACUGAGUGUAUAUGCACUACUGGUUGUUAUGUCUGUGAAUUGAUAUAUGAUUUUUCUAUUUCUUUUACUUUUAUAAUGCUUUAACCUUUUGCCGUUACAUGUUGAUGAUUAUGUGUGCAAUAUAGCGUAAUAAUGGUUCAUCUUUAUACUCAUGAAGAUCUGAGUUGGUAGCGGUCCAUUCACCGCUCAAAAGUUAUUAGGAAUCAUCAAAAGUGUCAACCAUUUUAUGGAGGAUGUACAUAUACUUUAUACGACUAAUGUAUGUUUUGAGAUAAUGUUUAUUAAUUUCUUACAAAUUCGUGGAUUAUAUGGCACAAGGAUUUAAACAACUAACAAUAUAUAGCAAAAAUAUAUAUAUCUGUACCAGCGCAUUAGCAUUUAGCUAAUUGAAAUAAUGUCUGGCUGACCUCUUUCCCUGUUGUUAGACGUAACAUUUUUUAGCUGGUACUUAAGAAACUAACUCAUUUGCUUC